GAUGAACGCUGGCGGCGUGCCUAAUACAUGCAAGUCGAGCGAACGGACGAGAAGCUUGCUUCUCUGAUGUUAGCGGCGGACGGGUGAGUAACACGUGGAUAACCUACCUAUAAGACUGGGAUAACUUCGGGAAACCGGAGCUAAUACCGGAUAAUAUUUUGAACCGCAUGGUUCAAAAGUGAAAGACGGUCUUGCUGUCACUUAUAGAUGGAUCCGCGCUGCAUUAGCUAGUUGGUAAGGUAACGGCUUACCAAGGCAACGAUGCAUAGCCGACCUGAGAGGGUGAUCGGCCACACUGGAACUGAGACACGGUCCAGACUCCUACGGGAGGCAGCAGGAGGGAAUCUUCCGCAAUGGGCGAAAGCCUGACGGAGCAACGCCGCGUGAGUGAUGAAGGUCUUCGGAUCGUAAAACUCUGUUAUUAGGGAAGAACAUAUGUGUAAGUAACUGUGCACAUCUUGACGGUACCUAAUCAGAAAGCCACGGCUAACUACGUG
rnacentral:rRNA from 1 species